GCACUCCUACGGGAGGCAGCAGUGGGGAAUAUUGCACAAUGGGCGCAAGCCUGAUGCAGCCAUGCCGCGUGUAUGAAGAAGGCCUUCGGGUUGUAAAGUACUUUCAGCAGUGAGGGAAGGUGGGUAUGUUAAUAGCAUACUCAUUUGACGUUAGCUGCAGAAGAAGCACCGGCUAACUCCGUGCCAGCAGCCGCGGUAAUACGGAGGGUGCGAGCGUUAAUCGGAAUUACUGGGCGUAAAGCGCAUGCAGGUGGUUUGUUAAGUCAGAUGUGAAAGCCCGGGGCUCAACCUCGGAAUUGCAUUUGAAACUGGCAAACUAGAGUACUGUAGAGGGGGUAGAAUUUCAGGUGUAGCGGUGAAAUGCGUAGAGAUCUGAAGGAAUACCGGUGGCGAAGGCGGCCCCCUGGACAGAUACUGACACUCAGAUGCGAAAGCGUGGGGAGCAAACAGGAUUAGAUACCCUGGUAG
rnacentral:rRNA from 1 species